AAUCUCAAUCCCACCGGGUUUUAUUACCCGGUGCUGGACUUGGACCUGGGCGUCUGCCAGUCAAAUGGCUCGCCUCAAAUGACUUAGUGGGAUCUCUCUGACAUCCGCGACAGACGUAAUAAGUUUCGUCUUGUCCUUUGCUUUCAAUAUCCUGCUUACAACCCUGGACCUUGUACACUUCGGUGUGCUCGGCCAAACCUUUGA
rnacentral:misc_RNA from 1 species